rfam:Gossypium arboreum cultivar AKA8401 contig_619_7, whole genome shotgun sequence.
UCUUAAAAUUUUUAUCGUUUUCUACCUAUUAAAAACUGUCAUGGCAAACAAAAUAGUCAAAUAGUGACAUAUAGCAUGUCACGUAUAGCUCAUGCUAACGUACAUGAACUAGCUUUUAACAAUAUAGAAAUUGAUGAAACUUUUAACA